rnacentral:rRNA from 1 species
CGUAGGGUGCGAGCGUUGUCCGGAAUUACUGGGCGUAAAGGGCUCGUAGGUGGUUUGUCGCGUCGUCUGUGAAAUUCCGGGGCUUAACUCCGGGCGUGCAGGCGAUACGGGCAUAACUUGAGUACUGUAGGGGUAACUGGAAUUCCUGGUGUAGCGGUGAAAUGCGCAAGAUAUCAGGAGGAACACCGAUGGCGAAGGCAGGUUACUGGGCAGUUACUGACGCUGAGGAGCGAAAGCAUGGGUAGCGAACAGGAUU